UACGUAGGGGGCUAGCGUUGUCCGGAUUUAUUGGGCGUAAAGAGCGUGUAGGCGGCCAUGUAGGUCCGGUGUGAAAACUCGAGGCUUAACCUCGAGAUGUCAUCGGAAACCAUUUGGCUAGAGUCCGGAAGAGGAGAGUGGAAUUCCUGGUGUAGCGGUGAAAUGCGUAGAGAUGCGGAGGAACACCAGUGGCGAAAGCGACUUUCUGGUCCUUAACUGACGCUGAGGCGCGAAAGCAUGGGAGCGAACGGG
rnacentral:rRNA from 1 species